rnacentral:lncRNA from 1 species
GAGUUCGACGACAUCAAGAGGACAGUUUUUGGUCUUUAUCAACAGAAGCCCUAGCAUGUUUCUUUCAGUUGUAAUUCUUUACUGCUUUGGCUUUGUACUGCUGAUCACUAAUUUAUUUAGCAACUAAACCGCAACUAACACGGUGUAAUUGUAGCAUAUAUGUAGCAAUCGAGUAUCGUAUCUUCAGAGACUGACACAACGAAAUAACUCUAGCUAUCUCCUAAACAAACUAUAACAGUAGACAGGCAAACGAUUAUGAAGAAGGUUUAAUUAAAACUAAACUCAAACAGCAGCAAACAAAAUCACGUAGAAAAAUCAAAUAAUAAAGACAACUGAUCCUAGGGUAGUAAUUUCAUUAACUGAAUCCACAUAAUAAAUCUAUUAAUCCUAUUAACCAAUUUUAAUCCAGUUAUGAUGAGAGAUCACUUAAUUAAUCAAUCACUCUCGCUAGAGCAGCAACGAUCGUAGAUUAGUCUAUCUUUCGCUAGGUCUCAAGAAAAUAUACUAACUCCCAAUAGCUCCCUAUGAUCCACUUAUCUCCGUUGGGUCUCAAGGUUGAAAUCAUAUCACACAUUACUGAAUCUGCUAAACAGCUAUCUCCGUUGGGUCUCAAGCCGAAUAAAUACACAUGAAAAUUAUUGAUCAGAUAAUUCACACGAAUUCAAGCACCGGGAAUUAUGAAUCAUAAACUGGAAGGUACAUAGGUACUAACAAAUAAAUCACAUGAAUCUAAUUAAUUAUUUACAAACCCUAGAAUCAAAUAAAGAACUUAGCUAGACAUAUUAAAAGAAAACAUAAACAUAAUUUUAAAAAAAAUGCAAUUGUAAAAAACUGAAAGAACGAUCUUGAAUCUUCAAUCUUGUGGAAAUUCAAUCCAAGCUCUAAAAACUGGAAAGCAAUAAAAAUCUAAAGCUAUGAAACUGAAAAAUUUAAGCUGGGAACCCUGAAUAGGUCAAAAGAAGACCUAUUUAUAGUGUCAGGGUAAAAUACAGAGUUUGAGCUCGAAAAUAACUUGAAAAAUGAAAAAAAACGCAAAAAAACGGACACGCGGCGACCCGGCGGCGGUCGCCGGCUACGCCGAAAUCUCGGUGGUCGCCGCCGUUUCGCUGUUGCGCGCGAUUUUCUUGUUUUGGUCAUAACUUUCUCAUCCGAACUCCGAUUUGUGAUCCGUUUACGAUCACGAACUCGUAUCGAGACGAUCUACAACUUCUAUUUCAGACAAGUUUUCCAUAAUCGAACUCAAUAAUCUUGAAAUUUCCUUCAAAAUUUGAGUAAAAAUCAUGUUUCACAAGAUAAAGCAAUUUAAGCAUAAACUAAUCACCCAACACUCAAUUCUAGGGCUGGUAAUCGGUCUGGUUCGGUUAUAACCAAAACUGAUUAAAGGGCAAAGUGAUAACCGAAAAUCAAACCAAUUUUCUGUUCGGUUAACCGAUUAACCGGUUAAUAUCAACAACUCCCGCAAAGAGUCAUUUCCUCUUAUUUAAUGUAUGUUGAAAAAAGAAAAAAGAAAAUUCAACUGAAACUCUCCACCAGCUGAUGUAGAGAAAUCAUGAAUCCUCAUUUUCUAAGACUUAAUGCAAACUUACAAGUUACAACAGUGGCAUAUAACAUCCAAGCAAAAUUCCACCAUCAAUCAAUCGAAAAAAUUUGUGAAAAGUAAAGAAGACAACAAUUUUUCAAAAGCAUUCCUGACCUAAAUAGUCGAACAAAAAAGAAGAGCGAAACCACAUUGAAGAUGAAAGAAGAGAGAAAUCACAAAAACAAAAAAAAUAUCGAGAGAGAGAGAAAGAGCAUGCCAUCACCAUCCUUAUCGAAGAGGCUGAAGGCUUUCUUGAACUCGGCGAUCUGCUCCUUUGUAAGCUGCUUGGCCAUUUUGGAAUUUCAGAGAAAUUGGAAUGACGAAGCAAGGGUUUAGAGGGGUUUAUACAGAGAGACGUUCAGGCGGCGGCAGAGUUCAUCGGAGAAGUGGAAUUGAAGGGAAAAUUUAGAGAGAACCCUAGGUAGCUUUAAUUUGAGGAAUUGGGGAAAGAGAGAAAAUAGAAAGGAGGGGAAGGAGAGGCGCCGGCCUCGCCGCGCCGGAGGCGGCGAGAACCGGCGACGUCCACCGGAGAAGGAUGGGGAGAGAGAGACGGUAGAGGGCAGAGAGAAUCAGAUUGCGAUUUGCGUAUGAGAAAAAUGAAAGAAG